GAAAGGUUUCGGCCGGACAGAGAUGGGCAUGCGGCGCAUUAGGCAGUUGGCGGGGUAACGGCCCACCAAACCGACGAUGCGUAGGGGUUCUGAGAGGAAGGUCCCCCACACUGGUACUGAGACACGGACCAGACUCCUACGGGAGGCAGCAGUGAGGAAUAUUGGUCAAUGGCCGGAAGGCUGAACCAGCCAAGCCGCGUGAAGGACGAAGGUGCUAAGCAUUGUAAACUUCUUUUGUCAAGGGACAAAAUCAGGCUCGAGAGCCUGACCGAGGGUACUUGAAGAAAAAGCAUCGGCUAACUCCGUGCCAGCAGCCGCGGUAAUACGGAGGAUGCGAGCGUUAUCCGGAUUUAUUGGGUUUAAAGGGUGCGUAGGCGGGCUGUUAAGUCAGCGGUAAAAGCCCGGGGCUCAACCCCGGCGAGCCGUUGAAACUGGCGGUCUUGAGAGGCCGAGAGGUAUGCGGAAUGCGCAGUGUAGCGGUGAAAUGCUUAGAUAUUGCGCAGAACUCCGAUUGCGAAGGCAGCAUACCGGCGGCGAUCUGACGCUGAGGCACGAAAGCGUGGGUAUCGAACAGGAUUAGAUACCCUGGUAGUCCACGCAGUAAACGAUGAAUACUGGCUGUGUGGCCCGACAGAGGGCUGC
rnacentral:rRNA from 1 species